GGCCGCUUGGCCCAAUGGUAAGGCGUCUGACUACGAGUACCUCUGUUCUUCUGCGAAAACAGUUGUAUACCAUUAGUAAUCAGGAGAUUCUGGGUUCGAGCCCCAGGGUGGUCA